rnacentral:misc_RNA from 1 species
UUAAUAAUUUUUAUUCUAUUCUUAUAUAAAAUUGUCAAUUUAAAUAAAAUAACCGUUUAACACACCAAUAGGAAUUCCAAUUAAUAGUAACCAAUAAAACUAUGAUAAAAGUGGCAUUGUUCAACCAUUAACUAAAUCUAAGAAAAUGUAACUAAAACUGCAAAUGCUAGUAAUAAAUAUGAUAUAGUUGGAUCAUAGAAACUUAAUUUCAUUUGCACAAAAGUAAUAUCGAAAAUAGAACGAUAUAUUUAUUCUUUUUAUUAAUUCUAUUAUUAAUCAUUACUAAAAUAACGAAUGAUAAAAUUUAAUCUAAAAGUUUGUACUGAUCGAUGUAUCUCGAUGAAAAGAAUAAUCGAAACUAAACGCACUAACAGAAAAGUACUACAGGAAAUAGAGUAUUGUUUCGACACUAGUAGAUGGCGCUUAUAGAACUUCAAUUUACGAAAUACUGGAACGUUAUGCCGCUUUGAUUUUUUAUUGUUGUGAUAGAAUUAAGAAUAUCUUGUGAAAGAACAAACAAUAUAUCUUUUAAACAAUACAAAAAUGGAACUCACCGAUGAUAAUCUGUUGACGCUGAGCGAAUACUUAAAACAUACGUUAAGUCCUGAAAUAAGUGUCAGAAGACCGGCCGAAAAGUUUCUGGAAUCAAUAGAAAUAAAUCAGAAUUACCCUUUACUACUUUUACACUUGAUAGACAAAUCCGAAAUGGAUAUAACAAUAAGAGUUGCUGGUGCAGUUGCAUUUAAAAACUAUAUAAAGCGUAAUUGGAAGAUUGAUGAAGAUGGUGUAGAUCAUAUAAAUCAACAAGAUAGAGCUGCGAUAAAGAAGUUAAUAAUUAAUUUAAUGUUGAAUUCACCUCAUUCAGUACAAAAGCAGCUUUCUGAUGCUGUAUCGAUCAUCGGUAAACAUGAUCUUUUAAAAAAUUGGCCUGAGUUGAUCGGUCAGAUAAUUGAGAAAUUCAAUUCGGGGGAUUUAAAUAUUAUUAAUGGUAUUUUACAUACUGCACAUUCUUUAUUUAAGAGAUAUAGGUACGAAUUCAAAAGUGAAUCUUUGUGGAGAGAGAUUAAAUAUAUAUUGGACCAAUUUGCUAAACCGUUUACAGAAUUAUUUUUAACAACUAUAAAUUUAGCUCAGAUACAUGCUAAUAAUGUAGAUGCCUUAAAAGUCAUAUAUAAUUCUUUGGUUAUGCUAUGUAAAAUAUUUUAUUCUCUUAAUUUUCAAGAUUUACCGGAAUUUUUUGAAGAUAAUAUGUCAUCAUGGAUGAAAAACUUUCUUGUUUUAUUAAACGCUGAUGUGCCAUCACUAAGAACAACAGAUAAUGAAGAAGCAGGAGUAUUGGAGCAGUUAAAAACACAAAUUUGUGAUAAUAUUUGUCUUUAUGCUCAAAAAUAUGAUGAAGAAUUUCAGCCAUUUUUACCAGAAUUUGUAACUACAGUAUGGAACUUGUUAACGUCAACAGGUCAACAAACCAAAUACGAUGAGUUAGUAUCGAAUGCAUUGCAAUUUUUGGCCAUAGUAGCAGAUCGUUCACGAUAUAGAAAUCUGUUCGAAGAUGCAGGAACUUUAAGCAGUAUCUGCGAGAAAGUUAUUAUUCCUAAUAUGGAAUUUAGAGAUUCGGAUGGUGAAUUGUUUGAAGACAAUCCAGAGGAAUACAUACGCCGUGAUAUUGAAGGCAGUGAUGUAGAUACAAGAAGACGAGCAGCUUGUGAUUUGGUCAAAGUUCUAUCGAAAUAUUUUGAAGCUAAAAUAAUGGAAAUUUUUGGUGCUUAUAUACAGGUAAUGUUAGAAAACUAUGCAGCGAAACCUACUGAAAAUUGGCGCAGCAAAGACGCAGCUAUUUAUUUGGUAACAAGCAGUGCGACUAAAGGUAAAACACAAAAGCAUGGUGUAACGCAAAGAAGUGAACUUGUUCCAUUACCACAGUUUACAGCGCAACACAUCGAACCAGAACUUUCUAAACAAAACAUUAACGAAUGUCCAGUUCUUAAAGCGGAUGCUAUUAAAUUUAUAAUGUCAUUUAGAUCAGUUUUACCCCAGGAAUUAGUUGUAGGAAGUUUACCACAAUUAGUCAGACACUUAGGUGCUACAAGUCUUGUUGUUCAUACAUAUGCUGCUUGUGCAAUUGAUAGGAUACUUUCUAUGAGAGGCGCAGACAAUAACUCUAUAGUUAAAGGAAACGAUUUAAUGCCAUUAGCACCGGAUCUGUUUAAGGGAUUAUUUGCAUGUUUGUCUCAGACAGGGUCAGAAGAAAACGAAUAUGUGAUGAAAGCUAUUAUGAGAAGUUUUGGAAUAUUGCAAGAUAAUAUUGUACCUUUCCUAGCAGAAUUAUUACCAAAAUUGACAGAGAAACUUACAAUGGUUGCUAAAAAUCCAACACGUCCUAACUUCAAUCAUUAUCUUUUUGAAACAUUAAGUUUGUCUAUCAAAAUUGUAUGUAAAUCAAAUCCUCAAGCAGUUUUAUCUUUCGAGCAAGUUUUAUUCCCUGUAUUCCAAGAAAUUCUACAGCAAGAUAUUUCAGAAUUUAUACCUUAUGUUUUCCAAAUCUUGGCAUUGUUUUUGGAACUCAGGACUACUCAAGAAAUACCAGAUCCUUACAUGGCCUUAUUCCCAUGCUUAUUAACACCAGUUCUGUUUGAACGUCAAGCUAAUAUUCAUCCACUUAAUAGAUUAUUGCAAGCAUAUAUUAGUCGAGGUUCACAUUUAAUUAUAGCACAGGAUAAAACUAGCGGCUUAUUGGGCGUUUUCCAAAAGUUAAUUGCAUCUAAGGUUAAUGACCGUGAAGGGUUCUUAUUAUUACAAUGUAUCAUUGAAUAUUUCCCACCGAAUACGUUGGAACCAUACAUGAAGCAAAUUUUUGUAUUAUUAUUCCAACGGCUAUCUUCUUCGAAAACAACUAAAUUUGUACAAGGUUUAAUAGUAUUCUUUGCCUAUUAUAUUAUUAGAUAUAAUGCAACUAGUUUCAUUAAUAUUAUCGAUCAAAUACAACCACAAAUGUUUGGUAUGGUCGUGGAACGCGUCUUGCUUCCCGAUUUACAAAGAGUCUCAGGUGAUAUAGAAAAAAAAAUAACAGCUGUAGGAAUAUCGAAUUUAUUAACCGAUUGUCCAGCUAUGUUUGAAAACCCAUAUAAUACAUUUUAUCCACGCAUUUUAACUGCAUUGGUAGAAUUCUUUGAAUUUUCUCAUGAUCAAACUUUGUUUCCGGAAGAUAUGAUAACUGAAUUGGAAGAAAACAUGGAAUAUCAAGUUGGUUACAGUCAGCUCGCUUAUGCUAAAAUGCCUAAAAAAGAUCCACUUCAAUCUAUUGGCGACGCACGUAUACAUUUGGCACAAGGACUUGGUAGAUUAUCACCAGGACAAUUGCCAGGAUUACUUGGACAAAUUUCAGGACCAAAUGCAAAUUUUGUAAAGCAUUAUCUACAAAACGCCGGCAUUACGGUUGCAUAAUAUAAACUGAAUAUCAAAAACAGAUUGAAGAUACAUUUAAUAUCACGAAAGAUAACAAACAUCAAAUUAAAUAAAUUAUUCGUGGUUAGUUCCUUGUCUGGUGAACAUGCUACCGAGGAAGCCUCAAGUCAUGUCUUGACGAGCAAUUCUUCCUACACCAUGUUAUACUCGAACAUACUCCUAUAUACUACGUGUU